AGUGAACGCUGGCGGUAGGCCUAACACAUGCAAGUCGAACGGCAGCACAGUAAGAGCUUGCUCUUACGGGUGGCGAGUGGCGGACGGGUGAGGAAUACAUCGGAAUCUACUUUUUCGUGGGGGAUAACGUAGGGAAACUUACGCUAAUACCGCAUACGACCUACGGGUGAAAGUAGGGGAUCUUCGGACCUUGCGCGAUUGAAUGAGCCGAUGUCGGAUUAGCUAGUUGGCGGGGUAAAGGCCCACCAAGGCGACGAUCCGUAGCUGGUCUGAGAGGAUGAUCAGCCACACUGGAACUGAGACACGGUCCAGACUCCUACGGGAGGCAGCAGUGGGGAAUAUUGGACAAUGGGCGCAAGCCUGAUCCAGCCAUACCGCGUGGGUGAAGAAGGCCUUCGGGUUGUAAAGCCCUUUUGUUGGGAAAGAAAAGCAGCAGGUUAAUACCACGCUGUUCUGACGGUACCCAAAGAAUAAGCACCGGCUAACUUCGUG
rnacentral:rRNA from 1 species